CCUACGGGAGGCAGCAGUAGGGAAUUUUCGUCAAUGGGCGCAAGCCUGAACGAGCAAUGCCGCGUGAACGAGGAAGGUCUUCGGAUCGUAAAGUUCUGUUGAAGGGGAAAAAGAGCGGAUAGAGGAACUGAACUCCGAUUGAUAUUACCCUUCGAGGAAGUCACGGCUAACUACGUGCCAGCAGCCGCGGUAAUACGUAGGUGGCGAGCGUUAUACGGAAUGAUUGGGCGUAAGGGGUGCGUAGGCGGCCUGCUAAGUCUGGCGUGAAAGGUACCGGCUCAACCGGUAUAGGAUCUGGAAACGGGCGGGCGAGAGAGCAGGAGAGGGCGGGGGAACUCCAUGUGUAGCGGUAAAAUGCGUAGAUAGAUGGAAGAACACCAGUGGCGAAGGCGGCCGCCUGGCCUGUUACGGACGCUGAGGCACGAAAGCGUGGGGAGCAAAUAGGAUUAGAUACCCCAGUAGUC
rnacentral:rRNA from 1 species